rnacentral:rRNA from 1 species
GAUGAACGCUGGCGGCGUGCCUAAUACAUGCAAGUCGAGCGAACGGACGAGAAGCUUGCUUCUCUGAUGUUAGCGGCGGACGGGUGAGUAACACGUGGAUAACCUACCUAUAAGACUGGGAUAACUUCGGGAAACCGGAGCUAAUACCGGAUAAUAUUUUGAACCGCAUGGUUCAAAAGUGAAAGACGGCCUUGCUGUCACUUAUAGAUGGAUCCGCGCUGCAUUAGCUAGUUGGUAAGGUAACGGCUUACCAAGGCAACGAUGCAUAGCCGACCUGAGAGGGUGAUCGGCCACACUGGAACUGAGACACGGUCCAGACUCCUACGGGAGGCAGCAGUAGGGAAUCUUCCGCAAUGGGCGAAAGCCUGGCGGAGCAACGCCGCGUGAGUGAUGAAGGUCUUCGGAUCGUAAAACUCUGUUAUUAGGGAAGAACAUAUGUGUAAGUAACUGUGCACAUCUUGACGGUACCUAAUCAGAAAGCCACGGCUAACUACGUGCCAGCAGCCGCGGUAAUACGUAGGUGGCAAGCGUUAUCCGGAAUUAUUGGGCGUAAAGCGCGCGUAGGCGGUUUUUUAAGUCUGAUGUGAAAGCCCACGGCUCAACCGUGGAGGGUCAUUGGAAACUGGAAAACUUGAGUGCAGAAGAGGAAAGUGGAAUUCCAUGUGUAGCGGUGAAAUGCGCAGAGAUAUGGAGGAACACCAGUGGCGAAGGCGACUUUCUGGUCUGUAACUGACGCUGAUGUGCGAAAGCGUGGGGAUCAAACAGGAUUAGAUACCCUGGUAGUCCACGCCGUAAACGAUGAGUGCUAAGUGUUAGGGGGUUUCCGCCCCUUAGUGCUGCAGCUAACGCAUUAAGCACUCCGCCUGGGGAGUACGACCGCAAGGUUGAAACUCAAAGGAAUUGACGGGGACCCGCACAAGCGGUGGAGCAUGUGGUUUAAUUCGAAGCAACGCGAAGAACCUUACCAAAUCUUGACAUCCUUUGACAACUCUAGAGAUAGAGCCUUCCCCUUCGGGGGACAAAGUGACAGGUGGUGCAUGGUUGUCGUCAGCUCGUGUCGUGAGAUGUUGGGUUAAGUCCCGCAACGAGCGCAACCCUUAAGCUUAGUUGCCAUCAUUAAGUUGGGCACUCUAAGUUGACUGCCGGUGACAAACCGGAGGAAGGUGGGGAUGACGUCAAAUCAUCAUGCCCCUUAUGAUUUGGGCUACACACGUGCUACAAUGGACAAUACAAAGGGCAGCGAAACCGCGAGGUCAAGCAAAUCCCAUAAAGUUGUUCUCAGUUCGGAUUGUAGUCUGCAACUCGACUACAUGAAGCUGGAAUCGCUAGUAAUCGUAGAUCAGCAUGCUACGGUGAAUACGUUCCCGGGUCU